rnacentral:tRNA from 1 species
AUUCCUCUGGCAGAUCAAAUGCAAUAAACUUAGAAUUUAUUCAUACAUUAAUACGUGUGGGGAAUA